rnacentral:rRNA from 1 species
UACAGAGGUGGCAAGCGUUGUUCGGAAUUACUGGGCGUAAAGGGCGCGUAGGCGGUCUUGUAAGUCUUGUGUGAAAUCCCUCGGCUUAACUGAGGAACUGCACGGGAUACUGCAUGACUUGAGAUCGGGAGAGGGAAGCGGAAUUCCGGGUGUAGCGGUGAAAUGCGUAGAUAUCCGGAGGAACACCGGUGGCGAAGGCGGCUUCCUGGACCGACACUGACGCUGAGGCGCGAAAGCUAGGGGAGCGAACGGG